UGGUGAAGGUUUGCCUUUCAACUACAGUUCUGUGAUGGGUCCAAGAAAAUUCACUGAUUUUCAGUUUGUUCAGGCAGAGUUCUCCAGAAACAGAUCCUCAGAUGGAGCUCAGAGUGCAAGAGUGGAGAAUAACUGUGGUAUUCUGCAACAUGCUGAAUGGAAAAGUAGCACAGGAACACAGUAACAAAGAGCCUUUCAUGCUGCAAGGGAGAGUAUUCCUGUUGGCAGAGAGAACCUUCACCGCUGGGACUGCUAAACUGCAAAUCUGUGAAAAGAAAGAUUUCUAUGUUUAGAAAUACUGGAUAUACUUAAAAUAGUGUCACUUUAGUGUGUGUGUGUGUGUGUGUGUGUGUACACAGCUUGCUUGUG